ACAGCCCAUUUUUUCUUAUGAUAAAGACGGCAUUUGGCUCAUGAGCAAGGUGGCAAGAUCAUCAAGUGAGUCAGACGUGCAGCUCUGGGAAACAGAAGAGGAUGACAUGACAGAAGGUGAUUUAGGGUAUGGCCUCGGAAGGAAACCUGGUGGGAUUUAUGAAAUAGAAUUUUCACAUAGGUCUAGAAAAAGAUCAGAUGGAAAGAACUUUAGCCCUCCUCCAUUUCCGAGAAAGGGAGAAGAAAGAAAUGAAGCGAGUUUUCAGUAUUCCAAGCAUAAGAGCCAGCAAGAUACAUUCCCUCAAGUGUCCAGAAUUUCCAAUUACAGACGACAAAGUAGCACUGUAGAUUCGAAUUCAGAAUUGUCAAAUGAAGAAUUAAGGCAAUGUCUUAAUGAAACUUUAGAGCUCUCCAUGCCCUCUCCUUUUUGCUUCUGGAAACAUGGCCUCUGUUGUGGCUGUCUCUGAUGGUGUCAUCAAGGUGUUCAACGACAUGAAGUUGUGUAAGUCUUCAACACCAGAGAAGUUGAAGAAGCGCAAGAAGGCGGUGCUCUUCCGCCUGAGUGAAGACAAGAAGAACAUCAUCCUGAAGGGGAGGGCAAGGAGAUACUGGUGGGCAAUGUGGACCAGACCAUCGACAACCCCUAUGCCACCUUUGUCAAGAUGCUACCGGAUAA
rnacentral:lncRNA from 1 species